GAGUUUGAUCCUGGCUCAGAUUGAACGCUGGCGGCAGGCCUAACACAUGCAAGUCGAACGGAAACAUGUCUAGCUUGCUGGAUGAUGUCGAGUGGCGGACGGGUGAGUAAUGCCUGGGAAUCUGCCUUUGUGUGGGGGAUAACCAUUGGAAACGAUGGCUAAUACCGCAUGAUGCCUACGGGCCAAAGGGGGGACUUGUUCCUCCCGCGCAAAGAGGAGCCCAGGUGAGAUUAGCUAGUUGGUAGGGUAAAGGCCUACCAAGGCGACGAUCUCUAGCUGUUCUGAGAGGAAGAUCAGCCACACUGGAACUGAGACACGGUCCAGACUCCUACGGGAGGCAGCAGUGGGGAAUAUUGCACAAUGGGCGAAAGCCUGAUGCAGCCAUGCCGCGUGUGUGAAGAAGGCCUUCGGGUUGUAAAGCACUUUCAGUUGUGAGGAAAGGUUGGUGGUUAAUACCCAUUAGCUGUGACGUUAGCAACAGAAGAAGCACCGGCUAACUCCGUGCCAGCAGCCGCGGUAAUACGGAGGGUGCAAGCGUUAAUCGGAAUUACUGGGCGUAAAGCGCACGCAGGCGGUUUGUUAAGCUAGAUGUGAAAGCCCCG
rnacentral:rRNA from 1 species